AAGCUGUCAAAAGAAAUGAAGGUAGUAGAGUUCUGCACAGAUGCUCAUCCCUAGAUCGCAGCCCUUUUGAGCAUCAAAGGUGAAAGAACAGACCCUUCUCCUCAACUGGUUGAGGGAUAUAGUCAACCACUUUUGGUGGUGUUGCAAGACAGCCAACACAAUUGAGCAGUUUCUUGGACUUUGGAUUGGAGUCCUUCACCAUGUCUGCAACGUUCACACUUGGGAAUUGGGAAGCUGCCAACAUGACCAUCUUGAAGACCUGCAGGAGAAGAAGUGGAUAGAGAGGGAUUCCAAGUGCCACAAAG